CAGACCCCAAAAGCAGAAAACCAAACAAAACAAACAGUGCUUUCCCUCCCGUCCUUCUUCUCCAACACGCACCAGACGCUUCUUUCCAUUUUCAGCUUCGUCUGUUCUUUUCUCUCACCUGGAGGAGGAGGAGGAGGAUUAAACAAAGACAAUAGAGGGAGGGGCACGAGGAUCGCGAGGCGGCCGAAGAAGAAAUAUAAAAUAAAGGGGAGAAUCUUGAGCGAUUUUGGCACAGGAAAGCUCCAAUAACCUCUCUCUCUCUCUUUUUCUGAUGCAUUAGAUGUAGAUCCAUCCCCCUUUGUUAGCUCUGUGAAUUCAUAUGCUUUUGAUUCCGCUUAACAUAUGAGUUUGUGUAUUGGAUUUCCAAAAACUGAUUGAAUAGAAAAUUGUCUUCCCUUUUCUGGAAUUUAAAUGUUUCUUUUGUUCUGAUCUUAGAGUAGUAGAACACCAACAGUUCUGUAUUGUUGAAUUAGAUUAAUUUGCUUCUGAAUCUGGCUGUGCAGGUCCUGUGUUUGAACUGGUUUCAUUUCUGCCUGUUGUUGUUAAAUGCAUCAAACAGAUGAUUUAAGAAUGUUAAAAAUAUGAUCUAGGGUUACAUCUACUUAAAUCCGAUCGCGAAUGCUCUAUUGCUUACUUUUCCUGUAUCUUGCUUGCAUUGUUCUCGUCUUCUUUUGACCUGAAAGUUCGUCCCCUAGCUUUUUCUUAGUUCUUCAGGUGGUGAUUGACUGAACAAGAGGUUGAUCUAGGGUUGUAAAAUGUAUACCGUACUUAUGGUUUCUUAUUCAGUAUCUUCUCAUAUGAUACAUGCUAACUGAUAUACUCAAGCCAGUCAAGUACUUAUUUGUAUAAAUUUACUGGAGAAAUUCUCAUUGUGAAACCCUAGCUGAUUGUGUUCUUCUAAUUACGUUUCUUCUGGAUUUAUUUGAUGAGGAUGAUAUCAAACUGACUAUUCAGUAUGUAGUAUUCAGUUAUGUAUGUUCUUUAUAAGCCACAGAAAUAUAACCCUUUUCUCUGUAAAACUGUCUUUAGGUUCUAUUACAGCUAAAUCCAUUUCUCAAUGAGCUUAUCAGUAUGUUUGAGCGCAAUACAGAGACAGGAUCCGUUUGGGUUACUCUAAAGCGCUGUGAGUUGAUGAUCAUUUUUAUGUUUUUGCUUCUUAAAUUACUUUGACUCUCUAUGAAGUCAAAGAAGGUGAAGAGGAAUAAGCUGUCCUCAGCUGGGAGGACAUAGAGUAUAGAGAAGGUAUUAAUCGAAUUUCUCAGAGACAAGUGUUGGCCGCCUCCAGCACUCUGUUGCCUUUGAUUGCUUCAUAUCUGAGAUGGACCAUCACGUUCACCUAAGCCGGCCCUGAGUUUCUGCUGUUCUCGCUUUCUCUCUCUAUCAUGAUUAUGAUUAGUGAAAGGGUUAUUUUAAUAUAUUCAAGGACUGGAGGAUCAUAAAUCUGUGGCGGUGGCUGUUGUUUCUGGUGCAAAUGGGAACUGUGAAAGCGGUGGUUAUAAUCUUCGGCGAUGGCAAUCAUAAUGUUAGAGGAUCUCUUCAGUUUGUUCAGGACCUCAAAGGAGGAAUUACUCAUGUAAAAGGGAGGAUUGAAGGACUGACUCCUAGACCUCACGAUUUUCAUAUUCACGCCCUCGGCGACACCACAAACUGCUGCAAUUCCACCGGUCUCGCUUCCCCUUUUCUUAUGUUCUCUUUCAUUCUUGGAUUGACUCUGCAUUUUCUUUUUAUUCUCUAAUAUGCUAAUGUAAAAAACAUGUUAGUCAUCCUCUUUCCUGCACGCCUUAUUUAAGACUACUAAGGCUUCUGCUC